AGUCAAUAGAUACCCUGGUAGUCCAUGCCGUAAACGAUGAUUGCUAGGUGUGGGGGUCUGACCCUUCCGUGCCGGAGUUAAACACAAUAAGCAAUCCACCUGGGGAGUACGGCCGCAAGGUUGAAACUCAAAGGAAUUGACGGGGGCCCGGCACAAGCAGUGGAGUAUGUGGUUAAAUUCGAAGCAACGCGAAGAACCUUACCAGGUCUUGACAUCCACCGAAUCCUGUAGAGAUACGGGAGUGCCCUUCGGGGAACGGUGAGACAGGUGGUGCAUGGUUGUCGUCAGCUCGUGUCGUGAGAUGUUGGGUUAAGUCCCGCAACGAGCGCAACCCUUGUGAAUAGUUGCUACGAAAGAGCACUCUAUUCAGACCGCCGUUGACAAAACGGAGGAAGGUGGGGAUGACGUCAAAUCAUCAUGCCCCUUAUGACCUGGGCUACACACGUACUACAAUGGCCGUUAACAGAGGGAUGCAAUGCCGCGAGGUGGAGCGAACCCCUAAAAACGGUCUCAGUUCAGAUUGCAGGCUGAAACUCGCCUGC
rnacentral:rRNA from 1 species